rnacentral:rRNA from 1 species
AGUCACGAGUUUGAUCAUGGCUCAGAUUGAACGCUGGCGGCAGGCUUAACACAUGCAAGUCGAGCGCCUUGGCAACAAGGAGCGGCAGACGGGUGAGUAACGCGUGGGAAUCUACCGUACCCUACGGAAUAACGCAUGGAAACGUGUGCUAAUACCGUAUACGCCCUUAGGGGGGAAAGAUUUAUCGGGGUAUGAUGAGCCCGCGUUGGAUUAGCUAGUUGGUAAGGUAACGGCUUACCAAGGCAACGAUGGGUAGGGGCCCUGAGAGGGAGAUCCCCCACACUGGUACUGAGACACGGACCAGACUCCUACGGGAGGCAGCAGUGAGGAAUAUUGGACAAUGGGCGCAAGCCUGAUCCAGCCAUGCCGCGUGCAGGAUGACGGUCCUAUGGAUUGUAAACUGCUUUUAUACAGGAAGAAACACUACUUCGUGAAGUAGCUUGACGGUACUGUAAGAAUAAGGAUCGGCUAACUCCGUG